GAUGAACGCUGGCGGCGUGCCUAACACAUGCAAGUCGAGCGAACAGACGAGGAGCUUGCUCCUCUGAUGUUAGCGGCGGACGGGUGAGUAACACGUGGAUAACCUACCUAUAAGACUGGGAUAACUUCGGGAAACCGGAGCUAAUACCGGAUAACAUGUUGAACCGCAUGGUUCAACAGUGAAAGACGGUCUUGCUGUCACUUAUAGAUGGAUCCGCGCCGCAUUAGCUAGUUGGUAAGGUAACGGCUUACCAAGGCAACGAUGCGUAGCCGACCUGAGAGGGUGAUCGGCCACACUGGAACUGAGACACGGUCCAGACUCCUACGGGAGGCAGCAGUAGGGAAUCUUCCGCAAUGGGCGAAAGCCUGACGGAGCAACGCCGCGUGAGUGAAGAAGGUCUUCGGAUCGUAAAACUCUGUUAUUAGGGAAGAACAAAUGUGUAAGUAACUAUGCACGUCUUGACGGUACCUAAUCAGAAAGCCACGGCUAACUACGUG
rnacentral:rRNA from 1 species